rnacentral:lncRNA from 1 species
GCAGAACCUUGCUCUUGCUAUUUGAUUGCUGUUGAAAUAGUGGACACUAUGAUUUAUUGAUGGGACUUCUAAUUUAUUGAUUUUUUCCGCGGUUCAGACUGAUCUGCGUUUCCAAAGCCAUGCUGUUUUAGCACUUCAGGAGGCUGCAGAGGCCUACCUUGUGGGCCUUUUUGAGGACACCAAUCUGUGUGCUAUUCACGCCAAGCGUGUGACGAUAAUGCCCAAGGACAUUCAGCUGGCUCGCAGAAUCAGGGGUGAGCGUGCUUAGAUGAUUUGAUUCUCGGACAAGGUGUGUGGUGAUGGUGUUUUUUAGUUUAGUUUGUUGUUAAGAAGCAUAAAGAUGCUAGACAGUAUUAAGCUCAAAUAGUUAUUGUUAGUGCUGUUUAUGGGUUGUAAUGGUAGUGUUCCCUUUGGAUGGAAACUAUACUUUUCACAGCUAUUACUCUAUGGACUAGAAUGUUUCCUUUGAACUGCUUUUGGUGAGGAAUUUCCUAUUUGCAUCAUAUGUAGUGGAUCUGUUUUCUAGUAUAUUGCUGUGGUGCAAUUUAUGUUUGCUGUUUGUUGUAUAUUUGCGAAGGUUUGAUUAAUAAUUAUAGGAUUCUUUGAUUGCUAAUUGCCGGUGGCCAAAUA